rnacentral:lncRNA from 1 species
UUUAAUUUAAUUAAAUUUUGAAAUAUAUAAUCGGAGAAAAGAUGUUCAAAGCGGGACGAUAAAUGAUUCACCGCUUUUGUGGGAUAAUUUUGGAAGAUGGUGAAUUAUUCACGUUAAUAUGAAGGUGGUGAACAAUUCACAGUCUUUAAAAAAAAUUUCACCGUGGCUUCUAUAUGGCAAAGAAGAAUUAGUUUGCCAAUUUAUUUUUUCAAAGAAUUAUUUAUCCAAUUAUAAACUGUGGCCAAUUUGCAUAAUAAAUCCACUAGUUUUGGACUUUUGCAAAAGUGGGUCACCUUUUUCGUUUUUGCAGAUUCGGUCCGAUUUUUCAGCAAACUGACCAAAAUAUCCUUAUACCUUUUUCUCUCACCUUUUUUUUUUUUUCUCUCGUUCUUUUUUUCUCUCUUCCCAGAGAGCGGCGGAGGCAGCGGCGGAAGCGGAGGCAGAGGCGGAAGCGGAGGUGGCCCACUUCAGUUUUGUCUUGCACAUCCUAACUCUCGCCCGCACACCCCCUGCUUUCCACGCCUCCGACCACGCCGAGGUCGCGCUGCAACAUUUUUUUUUCCCCUCUCCGACCCACCUCCACCACCUCCGACGACUGCGCCUAUCUCACCCUCUCUCGCCUUCUCGCCCUUUCCCUCUCCCUCCUCCUUCGCCUCCUCUGCCGCCUCCGACGACGACGCCUCUCCGCCGGCAUCGGCGCUGCAAAGGUCGCUGCGGCGCCGCAGCCUCGGAGCGGAGGGUCUUUACCGGCGUCGUCGUCGACGCCGUGGCCGUUGGCGGAGAGGCGUGACAAAAAAAAUAUAUAGAAGAGAAAGAAAAAAAAAUAAAGAAAAAAAAUUAUGUAAGAAAGAAGAAAAUGAUGAAAUUGUACUGUUAAAAUAAGAUUAUACUGUUUUAAAAUAAAUUUGCACUGUUUUAAUGAAAAUUGCACUAUUUGAUAUAGAAAUUACACUCUUUUAGAAUGGAUUUUGCACUCUUAAGGCUAACGUUACACUAUUUAACAGAAUUUUGCACCAUUUCUUUUUCAUUUCUUUUUCUCUUUCACUUCUUCUUUUUCUUCCGCUGCUGCCUCUCGCCCGGCCCGUGAAGAUGCGGUGGGGGCUAUCGCCGAGCUCGAGGAGGCUCUUGACUGUAAAAACGAAAAAGGUGGCCCACUUUUGUAAACGCCCAAAACUAGUGGAUUUUUUAUACAAAUUGGCCAUAAAUUUUUAUAGGAUCAUUUCAAAUAAAAUCCAAAUUAGAUUAUAAUU